rnacentral:lncRNA from 1 species
AGCGGCGAGCGACGGCUGGCAGACAACCUACCCACUCCCAGCCCCGCGCCCACCUCAGGAGCGUCUCGAGCGCGCCCUCGUGCUUGUCCAGCGGACGACCGACUGCGGCGCGGCGCAGCUUGCUGAGCUCCUCCGCCGCGCGGCAGUACUGGGCCUGCUCUUCCCCGCCGCUUGGGUAAGUCUGCUGGAUGAACUUCACCAGCGGCUUGGCCAGGUCCACCUCUGAGGUCUUUUUCAGCUGCACCGAGAUGAAUGUCGCCAUGAUCAGCGCCUCCGCCGCCGUUCGGGCCAAACAGACCGCGGACAGCUUACGAGGGCCGAGGAGAGAGAGGUACUGGGCUGGCGGACUGGCGGACUGACUGGCUGACAGACUUGCGCUCCGCCUGCGUUCCGGGUCCGGCAACUUCCGGGAGCUCCAGCGCAGGCGCACUGGAUGCGGGGUCCUUAAGCUGUCCGCGGUCACGUGAAGGUGUCGCGGCGGCUACGCCCACCUGGACCCAGUUUACCCUGUACUGUGCUGCAAAAUAUUACUUUCUCCCCAUCUGGAAUUCUUCCCUUCCUCCUUCCUGCCGCAGUGGUGUACUGAGCACUUUCACGUAAGAGUAUUCCUCCACUCGAACAACCCCCCGGAGAAGUACUGGUGUCACUGCCACCUGCGAGAGUUUGCGGCUACCUCCCCAAGAGGCAGUCCCAGGGUUAUUGUGACCUAUGAUGUUUAUUCAACUACUGUUGACGGGCUGCUGUGCACAGGGAACCUAGUAGGCAAGACCCCUGCCAUCGUGCAGCUUACUGUCAGGUUGACACAGACCUUAAGAAAGAACAAAAUUUUAAAUAAAUUAAAAACGACACCUGUAAUUUGAGAAGAUGCUUGAUAUCAGAAGAGGAGAAGAGUGGAGAGGGGUGGAGUGGCAAAGGAGAGCCUCCAAACCAAAAGCCUGCGGCAGAGGCCCUAGGAGGCAAGCACUUAACCAUGUUUCAGGACUAGAAACGAAACAUGUGACAAGACCUUUAAAAACAAAUAGAAUGGGAUGGAAUAAAGUUGGAUGAGUAAGCAGGCAUCAAAUCAUUCAGAAACUUGUUGUCCAAGUUGAAGAAUUUGUUUAGUAUUGUAUAAUAAAUGCAGAGGAAGCUAUAUACACUUAUAAUUUACAUUUUUUAAAGGCCACGUUGUAGCUCAAUCGGAUAGUUUGUCUUUUGAUGGGAUGUAGUAUACAGUAUCAUCAUGGUAUAUUCCAGGCAAAAAUAUUUAACUUGAAUCUGUCAAGCCUUUGCAUCUAACACAGUUUAUAAAAAAUACAACAGAUAGAUGAACAAACUAAAUGAUGCCAGAGGAAGUAACUAGACAGAUCCAGAAGGUGAAACAUUCUGCAGGAUAACUGGCCCAUCUCUUCAACAAUUUGUCAUGAUAAAAGCAACUGCUUUAUGAAAAGAAAUUUAAGGGACAUAACAGUUUGAAUUGGAUCCUGGUUUGAACAGACUGUCUAUAAAAUGCAUUUUCAGGACCAUUAAAGAAAUAUGAAUGUAGAUGGACUGAGUAUUGGAUAAAAUAGAACUGUAUUGCCAUGGAAAAGAUCAUUAACUGAAAAGAGCAAGUCACGAAAUAGUAUGUUACAGCAUCUCAUUUUGGUUUAAAAAUGCACAUAUAUGUAUUUAUGUACAACUAAAAAAAUAGUGGGCUUAUACCCUAAGGUGUUAGUAUUGGUAAUCUUUGGAAGUGGAAAUGUGUAUUUUUUUCUUUGUGUUUGCCUAUCUUUUUCAUUGUAACUUUUGCAGCACAUAGACUACUUUCAUUAUAGUAAAAGUUUAUUUUACCACAAUUUUUUUUUUUUUAGAAAGAGUCUCACUCUGUCACCCAGGCUGGAGUGCAGUGGCACAAUCUCAGCCCACUGCAACCUCCACCUCCCAGGUUCAAGCUAUUCUCCUGCCUCAGCCUUCUGAGUAGCUGGGACUACAGGUGCACACCACAUGCCUGGCUAAUUUUUGUAUUUUUAAUAGAGACUGGAUUUCGCGAUGUUGGCCCGGCUGGUCUCGAACUCCUGGCCUCAAGUGAUCCACCCGCUUUAGCCUCCCAAAGUGCUGGGAUUACAGGCGUGAGCCACUGCACCCGGCCUAUUUUACCACAAUUUAUAAAAAUUUUUGUUUAUUUUAAUUAAGCUAUUCUAUGUUAAAAUAAGUAGCCACCCUUGGCUGAUGCAUAAAGAAAAAAUUAGAGGAAGGAAAGAAUGGAGGCAAGGAGGCAAAUCAUGAGACCAUUUCAGAAAUCAAGACGAAAUCAGGAAAGCUAACAUUAGCAAGAGUGAACCAAACUGAUAAUAUCUUUGAGUUUAAAACUGAAGAAUUUACCAAUGAACUGCAUAGGAAAGUAAAGAAAAGAGAGUGGUCAAGAUAGGUCCUGGUUUUGGGGCCUGAACAUCUGAGUGGUUAGUAGAAUCAUUACCAGUUGAUAACCCAUGGAAGAGGGUGGGGGAUGGGUGGUGUCUUGUAGGUUGGUUGACAGGACUGACCCAUUGGGAAGAUAACGAAGAAGCAAAGUAUAUGAAAAGAGGAGAAAGGGUAACCAGAGGAGGGAGGAUACAAAGGGAGUGAUUAGCCAUCAGAAAGAUGAGGGACAUGACAUUUGUUGAGGCAGAUGGCGGAGAAAAGAAAGUUAACAUAGAUGUGGUUAGUUUUGUGGCAUUGACCAAAGGAAGAUUAAGGUGAUACUAUCUGAUGGCUUGGAAUGAAAACCAAACUCCCUGCCACAACAUGAUGAUCUUUCUCUGCAACUUCAUAUUUUGCCUCUUGUUCCUCAUUUGUUACCACUGAGUCACAAUGGUCUUUUUAGUUUCUCAAACACACCAAGAUCUUUCUUGCCUCAUGUGACCUAGAAUGUUUUCUCCCUUUCUUCAUAUCUCAGUUGAAAGGUCUCCUCUCCUCAUCAUCAUACUAUCUAAAGUAGAUUCCCUCCCUUGUUAACCUCUAGCGCAGCCAUUAGUUCCUUCAUAACACUUACCCUAACUUGCAAGUAUUUUGUUUGUUGAUAUAAUUUUUAUCUGACUUCCCCACUAAAAUGUAAGCUCCAUGAGGGCAAAAAUUGUGUGUUUUGUAUACUGAUGCAUCUCUAGCACUUGGUAUAGCAGGCAUUCAAUAAAUAUCAUUAAAUAAGUUUCACCCUUGUAAAAAAAAAAAAUAUAUAUAUAUAAAAUAUAUUCUCUACUUCCAAAAUAACACACUUUCACCAACAACAAGCACUCCAGCUAAUUAGGCAAUAGGCCAAUAAGCAAAGAAUUAUGGUAUAUUAGUCAAGAUUGGCUAGCUUAUGUUCUGACAAUAAACAAUUUCAAAAUCUCAGUUUCAAUUUUAAACUCAAAGAUACUAAUAAACAUUUGUUCUUUGCUCACACAAAGUCUAAUAUGGAACAGGCUUAGAGUUGUCCUCCAACCAGUGUCUGAGCAAUCCAGACCACUUUGAUCUUGUAACUCUGCCAUCCCAACAUGAGAUUCCACUUUCACUGCAGAAGAGGAAAUCUGUAGCAUCAUGCAGCAGCUUGUCACUACCUCAGCCCUCCUACUUCCACUUGCAUUUCACUAGCUAGAACCUUUCACAUGGCUCCACCAAACUGCAAUGGGACUGGGAAGGGAGAAUCAGAUAUUAGGGAGCAUUUAUAAUGCCUUCCAAGGGUGUGUUUCACUGCUUCCAAACUUGCUUAUGAUGAUGUUUUUCAUUUAUGUAAUGAAAUGCCAUAUGUUCUUAGUGUGUAUUCUCAGCAUAACGAGUACAUUUGGAGAAUAUUAAGUCAGUGGACUUUCCUUCUUGAAAAUUCCUGGUUCUGGGCCUAUCAUUAACCCCACUGAUUGAACCAGUGGAAAUAGUUGCCUCUUCGAAUGGAGAGAACCCUGCUGAAGGCAGCUUUGAGUUUCAAAAUAGUGUGUUUCAAGUCCACAUGGAGACGAUAGCCUGAAAGUAAGCACUUAUGAUUUUUGGAGGAGUCUUUGUUAUUAAGGAGAAAAGAGGCUUACAGAAGUCAGAUUCAGAAGACUGUAGUAUUUUUACAAUAAAUGAGAGUAAACAGUAUAAGGAUUUGAUGUAAGGGAAGUUCCUGCAGUGCAAGAAAGAAAGUCCUUUUGGUGCUGAGCGGAACAGUCUAAGAGAGAAAAGGUGAAGAACAAAAGGAAAAUGUAAAUGUGGUAUUCACACUUCCCUACUCCACACUCAGGAUAAACCUAGAGUAUGAGGUAGAGGCGGGAAUCUAGAGGGGAGGAAGCAUAGAAUAGGAACACCCAAAUAGACUUGAUGAAACAAAAAACAUCAAGGAUGGCUCCCGUGUCACCUGGGAAGACACACUUCAUGUAAGGAAUGGAAAAAAGGCAAUGGUAAGGGACAGGGGCCCUGGAUUUUUUACAACAUGCGAUAGAGAACUAUUUGUCUCCUUAAUUUAUUUAACUUUAAAAAAUAAUAAUGAAUGAAAGAAAAAUUACCCAUUUUUCAAAUAUGGGUGUGUAAGUUUUUUCCACUUUGUACAAAAAAUUUUAAAGAAACGAAAACUGCUGAACACCUUAUAUUCAGAAUUACUCCCUGUAUAAGCCCAUUCCAAUUCCAUAUACUGCUGAUUAAAUUUCCAUCAGUUGGCAGUUCUCUAAUAUCAGUUUCACUGCUAUUUAACUAACUACUGCCCUUUGCUACCAGUGUCUCUCUUGGAUGAGAGUCACUUUACUUGAAUAAGAUAACUUCUGAGAAUAAAUCUAUGCACUAUUUUGGAAGAAUUGCUCUAUAGAGUAAAAAAUAAUUCUGGAUAAUUGAAAGUUAUCUUGUGAGUAUCUGGACAUUAAGGAUACAUUUCAAGACUCCUGUUUUCACUAAAAUCCAAUAUUUGUUUAAGCACUUCAAGUUAAAGAGGAGCACCUUCCCCUUUCACCCUGACUAUCGUUGUUAAUUCGUUUUUGAAGCUAUAUAAGAACGUUUCUUUAAUCGGUUUUCCCUUAGGCAUACAUUAGCUCUCUGUUCAAGACUUAGUAGCAGAGAGUAGUAAGUAAAUGGUUAUUAGUGGUUCUUCAUAUAAAACACAUUUGAGUUUCUUAGAAGAAAACUAUGCAUAAAGAUUACUUUCAGAUAUCAUGUCUGUAGUUCGUUAAUAGAGAAGUUUCUCUGAACGUGUGGAACACUGUAAUAAGAUAAAUAAAUUUUUAAAAAGAAAAAGUAAGCAUAUAUACAAAAUGUAUGUAAUUUCAUUUGUCUUCACUUAUUUAAUAUUUAUAACCAUACAUUAAAUGAAAACCAAAUCCUACAAGCUUCAUGGUACAAAGUUUUGGUAAUACUUGGAUGAC